rnacentral:rRNA from 1 species
UCCUACGGGGGGCAGCAGUGAGGAAUAUUGGUCAAUGGGCGAGAGCCUGAACCAGCCAAGUCGCGUGAAGGAUGACGGCCCUACGGGUUGUAAACUUCUUUUGUCAGGGAGCAAUUGGGUCCACGCGUGGGCUUAGCGAGAGUACCUGAAGAAAAAGCAUCGGCUAACUCCGUGCCAGCAGCCGCGGUAAUACGGAGGACGCGAGCGUUAUCCGGAUUUAUUGGGUUUAAAGGGUGCGCAGGCGGGAGAUCAAGACAGCGGUAGAAUGUCGGGGCUCAACCCCCGCCGGCCGUUGAAAC